UACGUAGGGUGCGAGCGUUAAUCGGAAUUACUGGGCGUAAAGCGUGCGCAGGCGGUUUGUUAAGUCCGCUGUGAAAGCCCCGGGCUCAACCUGGGAAUGGCGGUGGAAACUGGCGAGCUAGAGUGUAGCAGAGGGGGGUGGAAUUCCACGGUGUAGCAGGUGAAAUGCGUAGAGAAUGUGGAGGAACACCAAUGGCGAAGGCAGCCCCCUGGGU
rnacentral:rRNA from 1 species